AUUGAACGCUGGCGGCAGGCUUAACACAUGCAAGUCGAGCGAGCGGCGGACGGGUGAGUAAUGUCUGGGAAACUGCCUGAUGGAGGGGGUAACUAAUGGAAACGGUAGCCAAUACCGCAUACCAUCAGAUGUGCCCCGAUGGGAUUAGGCAGUAGGUGGGGUAAUGGCUCACCUAGGCGACGAACCCUAGCUGGUCUGAGAGGAUGACCAGCCACACGGGAACUGAGACACGGUCCAGACUCCUACGGGAGGCAGCAGUGGGGAAUAUUGCACAAUGGGCGAAAGCCUGAUGCAGCCAUGCCGCGUGUGUGAAGAAGGCCUUCGGGUUGUAAAGCACUUUCAGCGAGGAGGCGUUACUCGCAGAAGAAGCACCGGCUAACUCCGUGCCAGCAGCCGCGGUAAUUC
rnacentral:rRNA from 1 species